rnacentral:rRNA from 1 species
AUUGAACGCUGGCGGCAGGCCUAACACAUGCAAGUCGAACGGUAACAGAAAGCAGCUUGCUGCUUUGCUGACGAGUGGCGGACGGGUGAGUAAUGUCUGGGAAACUGCCUGAUGGAGGGGGAUAACUACUGGAAACGGUAGCUAAUACCGCAUAACGUCGCAAGACCAAAGAGGGGGACCUUCGGGCCUCUUGCCAUCGGAUGUGCCCAGAUGGGAUUAGCUUGUUGGUGGGGUAACGGCUCACCAAGGCGACGAUCCCUAGCUGGUCUGAGAGGAUGACCAGCCACACUGGAACUGAGACACGGUCCAGACUCCUACGGGAGGCAGCAGUGGGGAAUAUUGCACAAUGGGCGCAAGCCUGAUGCAGCCAAGCCGCGUGUAUGAAGAAGGCCUUCGGGUUGUAAAGUACUUUCAGCGGGGAGGAAGGGAGUAAAGUUAAUACCUUUGCUCAUUGACGUUACCCGCAGAAGAAGCACCGGCUAACUCCGUGCCAGCCGCCGCGGUAA